rnacentral:rRNA from 1 species
AGUGAACGCUGGCGGUAGGCCUAACACAUGCAAGUCGAACGGCAGCACAGUAAGAGCUUGCUCUUACGGGUGGCGAGUGGCGGACGGGUGAGGAAUACAUCGGAAUCUACUUUUUCGUGGGGGAUAACGUAGGGAAACUUACGCUAAUACCGCAUACGACCUACGGGUGAAAGCAGGGGAUCUUCGGACCUUGCGCGAUUGAAUGAGCCGAUGUCGGAUUAGCUAGUUGGCGGGGUAAAGGCCCACCAAGGCGACGAUCCGUAGCUGGUCUGAGAGGAUGAUCAGCCACACUGGAACUGAGACACGGUCCAGACUCCUACGGGAGGCAGCAGUGGGGAAUAUUGGACAAUGGGUGCAAGCCUGAUCCAGCCAUACCGCGUGGGUGAAGAAGGCCUUCGGGUUGUAAAGCCCUUUUGUUGGGAAAGAAAAGCAGCAGGUUAAUACCCCGCUGUUCUGACGGUACCCAAAGAAUAAGCACCGACUAACUUCGUG